GACAGAUUUCUCCACUCAAAUGCAAGUGGGGGGUCAGCCUUUCUCUCUCCUCUACUUUAAUUAAAUCAUCUAAACUUUCACUAAUUUUCACCUUUCAAAUUUUGCAUCGUGAAUCGUAAUCUGCUCCAAAGUUGUAGAUAAUAUUUAAAGGAGGUAGUAGUAUCGGGCUUAACAUUCAAUCAACCCGCCUCCUUCCUUCGCUCUCCUCCAUUUUCGCCCAUUCAAACCUUUCCUCAUCUUCGAUCUCCUCCAUUUUUGCGCUCUUCUCAUCAUGUUCGCUCUUCCUACUCUUUUCAUCAUGUUUGCUCUUCCUCAGCAUCAACGAUUUUCUAGAGGAGGUUGCCCUAAUUUUGUGAAGCAGGUUUCCCUAAUUUUGUUCGCUCGUCCUCCAUUGAAGCUGCUUCUUAGGUAAUUCCGUUCUCAACUCUAACUUCCGAUUGUUCGUUGUGGAUUAAAUCUCCUUUAUUGAAGAAUUUCUCGAAAUUGUUGUUUUUUGAAGAGAAAUAUCGAUGUUUAUGAGUUGUCUAACCUUAUUUGCUCAUUUCAUUGUUUUUACUGAUCGGAUGAUAUUUUUUUGGAGAUUUAGUAUAUUGUUGAGAUUUCUAGUAUUUGGGACUGAUUUUCGUCUUGUUUGAAGCAAUACUAUUGAAAUUUAAAGCUUGAAUUCCUCUAAUUUUGAAUUCUAUAAGGUUGUGUUUGGAUACUCGCAUUUCAUUUGAAAUCAUUGAUUUCAAUUCCAGAAUUUCUAUUUCUAGAAUUUAUUUCCAAGUUUCUUGUUUGGCAAAUUAAGAGUUUCAAAUUUGGAAUUUCAAAUUCCAAAAACUUGUUUGGGGAAACAAAGAAAUUCAGAUCCUUUUUCUAAUCUUUGUUUUUUUUUUCUUUUUUUUUUUCACCAUUAAUUUCCAGAAUUCUGUUUUGCUUUUUUAUUUUCCCCAUAAUAUAAAUUUUAGCAGGAGAUAAAGCCGAGCGAAGAACGAAAUUAAACAAUAAAAAAUUAGGGGAAAAUCAAAACCCUAAUUUCAUCAAAUUGACAAAAUUAAGCAACCAAAAAUUAGGGGAAAAUCGAAACCCGAAUUUUAUCAAAUUGACAAAAUUAAACAACCAAAAAUUCUGAGAAAAUCGAAAGCUUAUCACACAGAUAAAAGAGGGUAAGAGUAGAGAAAUCCAAAAGCCACUACAAAGGAGGAUUAAGGUACACUUUAAUCAAGGAUUAAGGUACACUUUAAUGGAGGAUUCAAGGUACGCUUCAAUGGCGAAGAAAGCUCAAACGCCGCUACAAUGGAGGAUUAAGGUACGCAUCAAUGGUAGAGAAAGCUCACACAUCGCUUCAAUUGAGAAUUAACCGAACACGUUGACGAAGGAAAGGAAGCUCACUAGUUACUUUAAUGGAGAAGAACAUGUUGCUUAUAGUAGAGAAGUCACGAUCUUCAUCAAUGGAGGAAAGAGAAAAUAGAAUACCCAGCCCUUAGGAGAGAGAAUUUGGGAAAUUAGGCAUAGGAGAAAGAGUAGGGCUUUUUUUUUUUUUUUUUUUUUUUUUUUUUUUUUUUACUGAAUGUUGGAAUUUGGAAUGACAGCUUUAUAGUUGGAAUUUCAAUUCAAUCAAAAUUAACUUAAGUUUUAAUAAACUUGGAUUUGGGCCAAAUCCAAUUUCCAAAUUUAGAGUUAAUCCAAACAAUGUAAUUGGGCCAAAUCCAGAAUUUCAAAUGAAAUUAUGGUUCGCAAACAGGCCAUGAGGUAAUUUUAUUUUUUUUGUCAAUAUUCUAAAAACUCUCAAAUUGUAGUGUCCGAUCCUCAUGACUUGGAUUUGUGGAUAAAGGUUAGUCUAUGAGACCUUAUUAUAGUUAUUUACAUUUCAUUUCUUCACUUAACCGUCAUUGUUUAUGAUUGUUUGAACUAGAUUUGAUCUUAGUUUUUGUGACAAAAGGUUGACAGAGAAUACAAGCAAAAGGGAUCAUCACAUGAUACGAUAUUUAAGAUCUCUUUCUGGCCUCAUCAGCCACAUGAGUUCUUUGAUGACACAUCUAGAAGGAUGCGAUCCAAACAAUAUGUAUUGCUUAUACUUUGCUGCAUAUUUGUCGAUAUACUUUUUUCUUAAUGACUAGUCUAUAAGCAAAUGUUGUUGUGCUUGUGUUGUGCAUCUUUCUCAUGAAUUCGAUGUUUGAUUGUCAUGACUAUCACUUAGAAGGUUCAAACUUCCGGCUUUAUAUCGUUUUUACUACCUAUUUAUUGUCCUACUGGUUUUUACAUUUUAUUAAUCUCGUAGUAAAAUACGAAAGAAUUUGUAGAGAACCUGCAAGAUUAUCCUAGGGGAGUACUCGACAUGUUGGCUAUGUGUUUUGUGACACAACUUGUGUUGCUAGGACUUGCUCAAGGUUUAAAUGUUGUAAGGAAGAUAUAGUUUUAUUGUCUUAUCUUUCUAAGGUUAAAGGGAUAAAUACUUCGUAGUGUGUUUAUAUAAACUAUAAUUGAUCCAUCUUACUGACGUAUAUACCACCUCUUAAAGUUUGUAAGGAAUAUAAAUUUUCAUGUUCAAGAUUGAAAUUAAAAGCAUAGUGAAGUUUUCAUUCAGUGAGGAUUAUAUUUUUUAACCCAAGCUGAUUUUUUUUAGAUAUUACUACUACGGAUUUAUGAUUGGUUAGUAUAAUCUAAUAAUUUAUUGACUUCUUAUUCCCAGCUUCUUUAUAUAUGCUAAAUACCUUCCUAACCACCUGUUUUUUUCUCCAUUCUUCUCAUUGUUUUCAGUUCACUAGUCGUACAAGCUUUGCUAUGAAUAUGGGUGUUCGUACUCCGCACUUAAGACCAACUUCCAAUUUCGGCUCAAAAUGUGAGAUAAUUUUGGGUGGAAUUGUACAGCCAGUUGAGGUCUGUUUCAGAGUUUAGGCUUGGCAACGUUUUUCAUGCUGAAAAUAUCAUUUCCAGGUAGUUAUAGGUGGUGGUGCUCUUUCUCCUUUCGUCGAGUGGGCGAAUGUGCAUAUUUUUUGGUGGAGUAUCUAGGUUAUUUAGAAGCCUAUUAGCAGCCUUGUAAUUUAGUUUUUAAUUUUUAAUUAAUGUAUAUUUCAUAACUAACAAAAAAUUUGUUAAAAUAAUAUUAAAAUAGUUUGUAUAUCAUACUGGAGGAGUUGCAAUUUUUUUUUCAUUUAAAGAAAUGACUAUUUGCAUUUGGCGUAGUCCUUAGCCAUCUGCUAAUAGUUUUUUAAAAAAAAAUUCUAAAAGAAAGACUAUUAGCAGCUAGCCUAGUACUACGCCAGCUGCAAAUAACCAAUAUUAGCAGCUGGCCUAGCUCUAUGCCAGUUGCGAAUAAUGACUAUUAGCAAUGAACAAGUGUCAGUUGCAAAUAAUAUUCUCAUUAGUAGCCCCCGCAAUAGUAGCCCCCGCAAUAGUAGCCCUACGCGCCAGUUGCUAAAAGCCACUUUUCGCCAGUUGCUAAUAGUGUUUUUUCCACUAGUGUCUCGAUCAUAGCAUUUUUCAUUCACUCAUCCUAAAAAAAAAAAAUCA